rnacentral:lncRNA from 1 species
CAAAAAUAGAUAACUAUAAUAUGUAACAUUUCAUCAUAAGUGCAUUAGAAAUACCAAAAUGAGUAAUAAGGGAAGAUUAUUAACUAUCAGUGACAUCAAAAAAGAUUUCUUCAAGGACAUGAAUUGUAUCAAAAAGGGGAGUUUUGGGUAGCUGAAAGAGGAAGGGAAGACAUUCUAUGAGCAGGCAGAGAACAUGGUGUUAGCAAAGGCUGAGAAGAAGCAGAGUAUAGGGUGCAUUCAGGGUCUGGAUUCACAGAAGGAUGAUCAAAACUCAGAGGUUCUCUCAGACCAACCUCUCUGGAGGAAUCCCCAAAGAGAAAUCUCCUCAUCAGUGCCUGGCCCUACCACCAUCCAACUCAGCUGUCAACAGUCCCCACUCUGGCCAUUUCCAGCUUUUCCAAUGUGUAGAGUAUUAUAUUCUAGCCAGGGGAGACAUGUACAUAUACAGAGAGAAAAUGUAUUUCCAAUAGCAACAGCAACAAGGUCAGGUCAGUUCUCCAAGAUAAUGAGACAAGACAAAUUUUGCAGAUAUGAGAUGUACAAAAAUCAAGCAACAGGCCUUGGAGGAAUGACACACCUAUUGAGACUGUUGGAAAGAUCUGAAGGAAGGAAAAAUUCUAAAGAAAUUCCUUGA